CCUACGGGUGGCAGCAGUGAGGAAUAUUGGUCAAUGGACGAGAGUCUGAACCAGCCAAGUAGCGUGAAGGAUGACUGCCCUAUGGGUUGUAAACUUCUUUUAUAAAGGAAUAAAACGAGGCACGUGUGCCUUUUUGCAUGUACUUUAUGAAUAAGGAUCGGCUAACUCCGUGCCAGCAGCCGCGGUAAUACGGAGGAUCCGAGCGUUAUCCGGAUUUAUUGGGUUUAAAGGGAGCGUAGAUGGGUUGUUAAGUCAGUUGUGAAAGUUUGCGGCUCAACCGUAAAAUUGCAAUUGAUACUGGCAGUCGUGAGUACAGUUGAGGUAGGCGGAAUUCGUGGUGUAGCGGUGAAAUGCUUAGAUAUCACGAAGAACCCCGAGUGCGAAGGCAGCUUACUAAACUGUGACUGACAUUGAUGCUCGAAAGUGUGGGUAUCAAACAGGAUUAGAUACCCCUGUAGUC
rnacentral:rRNA from 1 species